rnacentral:lncRNA from 1 species
CUAAUGUUUUCUUUUCUAUAAUUGCAGGAGCCAUUGACACUGGAGAAUGAUACCUACCCUGAAAUAACUCACUUCCUGAGGAAAAAACGCCAUCUCUAGGGUACAGAAACCUGAUUCUGGGCUCCUUUUGGGAAGGAGGAUUUGGAGUCUGGCACUUCCUUCAACCUGGAGACAGAGUUCUCCUGGUGUGUGCCCAGGGGUGGAGGAGAAAUUGACAGUCUGCCUCUGAACUUUCAGGACUUUAAAAAGCACUCAUGUUUCCAUCCUCACUGUUGACUCCUGGCUUAAAGGGAUCUCCCGGGGUGAGUGAGGAGGCGGGAUCGGACCCUGGCAGUCUGACGGCAGCACCUGUGUUCCUCUGCACUGGGCCGUGGAUGACAUUACACACCUUGAUGGAGGCAGUGGCUGGAGUGAAUGAACGGCAACACUUGCUGGCAACCGGCAGAAGCUGAGAGACAGGGAACAGGCUCUCCUCCAGAGCCUCCAGGAGCCAGGCCUUUGGACACCUUGAAUGUGGGCUUCUGGGAGACCAUGCGUUUCUGUUAUAAGCAGCCCAGUCUCUGGCAGUUUUUACGGCUGCCCCGGAACACUCAUCUAUACCUGUCUGACAAGGUCAAGCUCCAAGGAAGGGAUUCUCUACAUAUCUACAUUGUUUGCAGAUUUUACAAUAAUCAUUUAUUCUUGCAUGGCUGAUCAUUGUUAACCAAUACAAAUAAAAUAAUAAAGAAAUGACCCACAUUUUAUGUUGGGAGU